rnacentral:rRNA from 1 species
CCAAUAGCGUAUAUUAAAGUUGUUGCAGUUAAAAAGCUCGUAGUUGGAUUUCGGGAUUAGCAGGUCGGUCGUGCCACUGGUACGUACUGGUCUUGCUGAUUCCUCCCUCUUGACGAGCCGUAAUGCCAUUAAUUUGGUGUUGCGGGGAAUCAGGACUGUUACUUUGAAAAAUUAGAGUGUUUAAAGCAGGCAUGCGCUUGAAUACAUUAGCAUGGAAUAAUGAAAUAGGACGUUCGAUCUUAUUUUGUUGGUUUCUAGGAUUGACGUAAUGAUUAAUAGGGAUAGUUGGGGGCAUUAGUAUUCAAUUGUCAGAGGUGAAAUUCUUGGAUUUAUUGAAGACUAACUACUGCGAAAGCAUUUGCCAAGGAUGUUUUCAUUAAUCAAGAACGAAAGUUAGGGGAUCGAAGACGAUCAGAUACCGUCGUAGUCUUAACCAUAAACUAUGCCGACUAGGGAUCGGAUGAUGUUAAUUUUUAAUGACUCAUUCGGCGCCUUACGGGAAA